rnacentral:rRNA from 1 species
UACGUAGGGUGCGAGCGUUAAUCGGAAUUACUUGGCGUAAAGCGUGCGCAGGCGGUUUUGUAAGCCAGAUGUGAAAGCCCCGGGCUCAACCUGGGAAUGGCAUUUGGGACUGCAAGGCUGGAGUUUGGCAGAGGAGACUGGAAUUCCUGGUGUAGCAGUGAAAUGCGUAGAUAUCAGGAGGAAUACCGAUGGCGAAGGCAGGUCUCUGGGCUAUAACUGACGCUCAUGCACGAAAGCGUGGGGAGCAAACAGG